GAUGAACGCUGGCGGCGUGCCUAAUACAUGCAAGUCGAGCGAACAGACGAGGCGCUUGCUCCUUCGACGUUAGCGGCGGACGGGUGAGUAACACGUAGGUAACCUACCUAUAAGACUGGGAUAACUUCGGGAAACCGGAGCUAAUACCGGAUAAUAUUUCGAACCGCAUGGUUCGAUAGUGAAAGAUGGCUUUGCUAUCACUUAUAGAUGGACCUGCGCCGUAUUAGCUAGUUGGUAAGGUAACGGCUUACCAAGGCAACGAUACGUAGCCGACCUGAGAGGGUGAUAGGCCACACUGGAACUGAGACACGGUCCAGACUCCUACGGGAGGCAGCAGUAGGGAAUCUUCCGCAAUGGGCGAAAGCCUGACGGAGCAACGCCGCGUGAGUGAUGAAGGUCUUCGGAUCGUAAAACUCUGUUAUUAGGGAAGAACAAACGUGUAAGUAACUGUGCACGUCUUGACGGUACCUAAUCAGAAAGCCACGGCUAACUACGUG
rnacentral:rRNA from 1 species